UGGUAAAAACCCGAGGUUCAGAGCUGGUUUCCUCAUUGGGCAACAGUGUAAACUAUACAUUUGACAGCAGUGGCCUCAGUAUCACAGACUAUGAUGAGUGUGCAAGAAAUGUCCAUGACUGCUCGUCUAAUGCCACCUGCAGAAAUAUCUUUGGAUCAUUUGAAUGUUAUUGCAAAGAAAAUUUCCAAGAUAUACUUCCAAUGCGGCCUGGAAGAAUCUGCAAAGCAUUAACCUCAGAAUUUGCUACUGUGUCUCAUACAAGGCAAACUGCCACUUCAGCAUCUACUGCAGCAUUUUCGCAAAGAAGCACAACUUCCACCAUAUCCCCAGAGAUCCAGAAGACUAGUCCACUGUCAGUUACCUGCAUGAGUCAAAAUAUAUCAGUGGCAGUAACUAAAGCAUUUCU